UUUCUGCGUCUGCUGCUGCCAUAGCUCCUGUGAAAAACCUUGUGGUGAACGGGGGCAAAAAAAAAAGAAGCAGGUUCUGAAGUUCACUCUUGAUUGCACCCACCCUGUAGAAGAUGGAAUCAUGGAUGCUGCCAAUUUUGAGCAGUUUUUGCGAGAAAGGAUCAAAGUGAACGGAAAAGCUGGGAACUUUGGUGGAGGGGUGGUGACCAUAGAAAGGAGCAAGAGCAAGAUCACUGUGACAUCCAAGGUCCCUUUCUCCAAAAGGUAUUUGAAAUAUCUCAACAAAAAAUAUUUGAAGAAUAUUGGGCUGCGCCUAGUUGCUAACAGCAAAGAGUUACGAAUUACAUUACUUCCAGAUUAACCAGGACGAAGAAGAGGAGGAAGACAAGGAUUAAAUUUCAUUUAUCUGGAAUAUUUUGUAAGCGUUCUUGAAUAAAACUUGGGAACCAAAAAAAAAAAAAAAAAACCACA